UGUUAUUUGAUCGACAUUUGCGGGUGCCCACGAUUUUCGGCAAAAUAGAAUCUGGAAGAACCGAAAACACAGUCACCUAUUCAUUUCGCCAAAUGCAUUCAAUCCCAUUCAAAAAAGUUCAGUUUGAAAAAAAGCAAUCGAUGAUCGGCAAUAUUUCGAGGUUACAUUCUUCGUAGAUGCCAGCAAUUUAUGUUGCUAAGCGAACCAACCCAUGUUGUAAGAUAAUAUAUACAUUAAAUGGUAUGACAUUUAAAACUAUAGUGGGAAUACUACGUUCAAAGUAUAAACAUAAUGAAAUUGUGUCCUCAAUAUAAAAAAUGCUUGCCUUAUUUUCAACAUUUGGACUAUAGAUUAAAAAGAGAGAGA
rnacentral:lncRNA from 1 species